rnacentral:ncRNA from 1 species
GUGUCGUGUGAAAGGAGAGACGUUUAGCACUCCCCUAGAGAAAGAUGGAAACGUGUAAAUUGGUAAGGCACCGUCGUCAUUUGACGACACUUACCAAAGGAGGCCU